rnacentral:rRNA from 1 species
AUACGUAGGGGGCAAGCGUUAUCCGGAUUUACUGGGUGUAAAGGGAGCGUAGACGGCGAUGCAAGUCUGAAGUGAAAGCCCGGGGCUCAACCCCGCGGACUGCUUUGGAAACUGUGUUGCUGGAGUGCAGGAGAGGUGAGUGGAAUUCCUAGUGUAGCGGUGAAAUGCGUAGAUAUUAGGAGGAACACCAGUGGCGAAGGCGGCUCACUGGACGGUAACGGACUUUGAGGCUCGAAAGCGUGGGUAGCAAACAGGAUUAGAUACCCUGGUAGUCCGCGCCGUAAACGAUGAAUGCUAGGUGUCGGGGGGCAAAGCCCUUCGGUGCCGCCGCUAACGCAUUAAGCAUUCCACCUGGGGAGUACGUUCGCAAGAAUGAAACUCAAAGGAAUUGACGGGG